rnacentral:ribozyme from 1 species
UGCCCAGUAACUCCUAUCCCUACCUCCUCGUGGUACUGGCCGGGGUACGAGUAACCUUGGGGAAGAUCGGGUAACCAACCCCCGGUGGGAACUUUAGUCGUAUGCUGACAGGGAAGG